GCGCAUCUGGAACGUCGUCUUCUGCUGAGAACUCUGGUGCAGCGUUGCCCAUUCUCGAGUCUUUCCCUACAGGAUCGGCUACACUUACUGCACUCCCUCUAGAUGAGAUGAACACUCCUAUCUCUGCGUUCAAAAGCAAAGGGUAGGCCACUAUGCCUAAAACGCCUAGCAAAUCACCGUGCCCAAAAAAUUCUCGGCGCAAGCUUUUCACUACACCUUUGAAGAUCACCGCCACUGAAGUUAAAGGGGGCUGACCUACCUGCUUCUACUGCCUUUGUUAUUGCCAAAGCUGAA